GGCGGGUCUUUCCCAUGGUGUUCUUCUCGUGAUAGUGAGUAAGUCUCACAAGAUCUGAUGGUUUUAAAAAUGGGCGUUUCCUUGCACAAGCUCUCUCUCUUUGCCUGCCAUCAUCUGUGAAAGACAUGACUUGCUCCUCCUUGCCCUCUGCCGUGAUUAUGAGGGCUCCCCAGUCAUGUGGAACUGUCAAGCUCCAUUCUGAAAGUGCUGCAUUAAAGCCAACCCGGAAGGACUGGACCCAGACCUUAGCUCCACCCCAUAGAUGGGUCUCACUAUGUUGCCCAGGCUGGCCUCAAGUUGUCUCAACUCCUGGCUCAAGUGAUCCUCCCACCUCGGCCUCCCAAAGUUUUGGGAUUAUAGGUCUCAGUGGCUCCUCUCUCUAAAGAACUUACAUUGGAUGGAGAAAGCAGAAUCAUCUCUAUCUUGAGUGACCAUUCCAGACUCUAGAGGGGACUUGAUGUCAUUCCUUCUUCUUCCUUUUUUUUUCGUCAGAGUCUGGCUCUGUUGCCCAGGCUGGAGUACAAUGGCGCUAUCUCGGCUCACUACAACCUAUGCCUCCCGGGUUCAAGCAAUUCUUGUGCCUCAGCCUCCAGAGUAGCUGGGAUUACAGGUGUGUGCCACCAUGCCCAGCUAAUUUUUGUAUUUUUAGUAGAGACAGGGUUUCACCAUGUUGGCCAGGCUGGUCUCAAACUCCUGACCUCAAGUGAUUCUCCCUCCUCAGCCUCCCAAACUGUUGGGAUUACAGGUGUGAGCCACCAUGCCUGGCCUCAUUCCUGCUUCUCGAGGGAAACUUUCAAUAUACUCUGCACAAGCUUCCUAUCCGAUUUGCAUAUCACUUCUGAAAAUUGGCUCCUAAAAGAAGCCAGCCAGUCAUGUUGCGUGGUGUUUUUUCUGCAUGGUCUAGCAUGCCAAGUAGCAAGCUAUACCUGCAGGCCAAAUCUGGCCCACUGCCUGUUAUGAUGCAACCCAUGAGCUUUGAAUGGUUUUUACCUUUUGAAAUGGUUGAAAAUAAUCAAAACAACUAUAGUAUUUAAUGAUGUGAAAAUUAUAUAAAUUCAAAUUUCAGUGUUCCUAAAGUUGUGAAUGUCAUCAAUAAAAG